CUGUGGAAGCAGCAUCAAGCAAGACUUCGGGCAGUGAUUCUAACUAUUGCCCAUGAACACCGUGGCCAGGACGACUUUGACGAGGCAAAUUUAUUACUUACGCAUAGAACAUUAGCUGUGCUGAAACUGGGAGCGCAAACAGCCCCUUGUUUUCUAAUUUAGAGACUUGCAUCUUUUCGACUCUCAACAUUAUCAAGACACUCUGCUACUACAGAUUGAUUUCCACCAUCAACACCUUUACCUCUUCCCGCCUGAAAAUAAAAUAUGAAAUACAACAAGUAAAUCGCAACCUACCUUGUAUCUUCUGGAGAGGGAAAGAAGAAACCAUGUCUAGACAAGGUGCUGGAAAGACCCAGGGAAGACAUAGGGAAAUCAUCUUUUGGGAACUUAUCUAAGAACUUCUUAUG
rnacentral:antisense_RNA from 1 species